CUUGCUUCCAAAUACUUGAACUUCUCUGACGAUUUCCAAGAAGUUGCAUAUAAAAGCCAAGGACGUGACUUGUCCAGUUAUUGUUGGUUCGGUUUAGGCACAGUUUACAUCUUAUGCAAGCUGCUUAAGAAUUUUUUAAUUUUAACCCGUUAGGUAGAGUUUCUUUAAAUUAAAGUGUUUUCAAAAUGCAAAGGCAA